rnacentral:rRNA from 1 species
GACGAACCGUGCGAACGUUGUUCGGAAUCACUGGGCUUAAAGGGCGCGUAGGCGGGUUACCAAGUCAGGGGUGAAAUCUUUCGGCUUAACCGGAAAACGGCCUCUGAUACUGGUAGUCUUGAGGGAGGUAGGGGCAGGUGGAACUUCCGGUGGAGCGGUGAAAUGUGUUGAUAUCGGAAGGAACGCCGGUGGCGAAAGCGACCUGCUGGAUCUCUUCUGACGCUGAGGCGCGAAAGCUAGGGGAGCGAACGGG